CGUAGGGUGCGAGCGUUAAUCGGAAUUACUGGGCGUAAAGCGUGCGCAGGCGGUUUUGUAAGACAGGCGUGAAAUCCCCGGGCUCAACCUGGGAACUGCGUUUGUGACUGCAAGGCUAGAGUAUGGCAGAGGGGGUGGAAUUCCACGUGUAGCAGUGAAAUGCGUAGAGAUGUGGAGGAACACCGAUGGCGAAGGCAGCCCCCUGGGCCAAUACUGACGCUCAUGCACGAAAGCGUGGGUAGCAAACAGGAUUAGAUACCCUGGUAGUCCACGCCCUAAACGAUGUCAACUAGGUGUUGGGUGGGUAAAACCAUUUAGUACCGGAGCUAACGCGUGAAGUUAACCGCCUGGGGAGUACGGCCGCAAGGUUA
rnacentral:rRNA from 1 species